GAACAUUUCUUGUGGGCAUCUUCUUGUCAAACCUUUGAAUCUCUCCCAGGCCUCAUAGAGUGUUUCACCAUCUUGUUGUCUGAAAGUUUACACCUCAGCUCUUAGCCU